GCUCUUUCCAGCUGUAAUAAAAUUUUUGUUGAGAUCAAAAUUUAGUCUAUUACGCAAAUGGUCAAUUCGGAUCGUUAAUUGAAAUGAAUAUAACUGGAACGCGACCUUCGUAUAAACUGCCUAUCUUUUUCUUGAAGCCAAAUUUGACCUCCAGACACGCGUGUUUCUGUCAUCAUGAUUGACUGAUUGAGCGCUCUUCGCAUGCGUGAAAAGACUGGGACUGGCCCAACCUCGUACCCAGGCUAUUUUCUCUCACAAGCUUUUGUUGGUAGGGAUGCAACUACUUGAAAAAUAUAAGGAGAAUUUCAUAUUUUUCAGGUUGUUACAUCCCUACCAACGAAAGCUUGUUAAUACUUUUGGCACUACCUACACAGGUCUUAUUGAAGUGAUGUAUUUUAUGUAAUUGCUAUUUGCUAAUAACAUUACAUAUGAAAUAUAUUAUUUUCUCUACG